AAACUCCUACGGGGCGCAGCAGUGGGGGAUAUUGCACAAUGGGGGAAACCCUGAUGCAGCGACACCGCGUGAGCGAUGAAGUAUUUCGGUAUGUAAAGCUCUAUCAGCAGGGAAGAAAAUGACGGUACCUGACUAAGAAGCCCCGGCUAACUACGUGCCAGCAGCCGCGGUAAUACGUAGGGGGCAAGCGUUAUCCGGAUUUACUGGGUGUAAAGGGAGCGUAGACGGCAGUGCAAGUCUGAAGUGAAAGGCAAGGGAUCAACACUAGGACUGCUUUGGAAACUGUGGUGCUCGAGUGUCGGAGG
rnacentral:rRNA from 1 species